rnacentral:lncRNA from 1 species
AGGGAGCUGAGCUGGUCCCUCUGUGUGUCAGGGGUAUGUGUCAGUGGGCCGAGAGUUGACGACCUCCGUGAGCAUGGCUCCUGAGAAAGCAGAGGGCCAAGAAUAGGGCAGGGCAGGAUGGCUGCAGGAGAGAGCCCUGGUCAUCUCCCUUCCCUGCCUCACUCUUGUCCCCAUCAGGUUUCCUCAAGUCCCGAGAACGCUCCAGCCACAAGCUGUACUCUCAGCUGCUGCACACGCAGAUGUUCUCACAGUUCAUCGAAGAAUGUUCUUUUGGCUCUGCUCGGCAUGCUGCCCUUGAAUUCUUUGACUCUUGUGUUGAUAAGGUAUCAAGUAUGUCCCUUCUCUAUGUGCCCAGUGGUCUCUGCUCUCCUUCUGCUUCUCUCUUGCCCACAGGCUACUGUAAACCCAAAUAUGUCUCAGCUGUGACAGGGAGGGCACCCCUGGAGUCACGAGCACACAGCGUGUGCCACUGGCUUCCUCUGCGAAGUAUCGUCCCAUUCUCAACUCUGUCCCCCAGCCGGGUCUUCAGGACUCCUUCCCUGCGGACGUGCUUUCCUGGAAGAUGCCAUAUUCCGGACGUCUGGCAUGCUCCAUGCCCACUGUCUUUUUAUUUUAUUUUUUGCGGUACUGAGGAUCGCACCUACGAGUGCUCUGCCACGGAGCUGCCUCCCCGAUUCUUUUUAUUUUUCAUUUUGAGGCAGGGUCUUACUAAGUUGCCAAGGCUGGCCUCAACUUUCAGUCCUGCCUUGGCUCCCAAGUCACUGGGGUACAAGUUGCGUAGCACCCUGCACCUGCCAUGCCUGUCGUCUGACGCUGCGUGCUCCCCUUGCUGUUCAGGUCCACCCGGAGCAGGAGAAGCCCGAGACAGCGCCCUUAGUGGAGCUGGAAGAACUCUCGGGAAGCGAGCUCACUGUCUUUAUCACCCCCCCUGAGGAGCCCCCCGCACCAGAGGGCAGUGAAUCCACUCCCCAGUACUGGUGAGAGAUUUUGUCCCCUCCUGUGUCCCAAGUGGACCCUUGGAUGGUCCACUUCAGGUGCCUGGCCCUGUAUUGAUAUCGGCUCUCUCUGCCCCUCAGCUAUGAUGGGUUCCCAGAAUUACGGGCUGAGCUAUUUGAGUCUCCUCAAGAGCAACCAGGGGCCCUGCCUGUGCCAGGCCCAUCCCGUAGCGCCCCCAGCAGUCCUGCCCCUCGCCGUACCAAACAGGUAAGCAGCUCUUGGACCCCACGGGGAACCUGGCUCAGGCCGAGGGCGGCUGCUUCGUUU